rnacentral:rRNA from 1 species
AUUGAACGCUGGCGGCAUGCUUUACACAUGCAAGUCGAACGGCAGCGCGGGCUUCGGCCUGGCGGCGAGUGGCGAACGGGUGAGUAAUACAUCGGAACGUGCCCAGUAGUGGGGGAUAGCUCGACGAAAGCCGGAUUAAUACCGCAUACGACCUGAGGGUGAAAGCGGGGGAUCUUCGGACCUCGCGCUAUUUGAGCGGCCGAUGGCAGAUUAGCUAGUUGGUGGGGUAAAGGCCUACCAAGGCGACGAUCUGUAGCUGGUCUGAGAGGACGACCAGCCACACUGGGACUGAGACACGGCCCAGACUCCUACGGGAGGCAGCAGUGGGGAAUUUUGGACAAUGGGCGAAAGCCUGAUCCAGCAAUGCCGCGUGUGUGAUGAAGGCCUUCGGGUUGUAAAGCACUUUUGGCGGGAACGAAAAGGACUGUGCCAAUACCACGGUUCGAUGACGGUACCCGCAGAAUAAGCACCGGCUAACUACGUG